rnacentral:rRNA from 1 species
AUUGAACGCUGGCGGCAGGCCUAACACAUGCAAGUCGAACGGUAACAGGAAGCAGCUUGCUGCUUUGCUGACGAGUGGCGGACGGGUGAGUAAUGUCUGGGAAACUGCCUGAUGGAGGGGGAUAACUACUGGAAACGGUAGCUAAUACCGCAUAACGUCGCAAGCCCAAAGAGGGGGACCUUCGGGCCUCUUGCCAUCGGAUGUGCCCAGAUGGGAUUAGCUAGUAGGUGGGGUAAAGGCUCACCUAGGCGACGAUCCCUAGCUGGUCUGAGAGGAUGACCAGCCACACUGGAACUUAGACACGGUCCAGACUCCUACGGGAGGCAGCAGUGGGGAAUAUUGCACAAUGGGCGCAAGCCUGAUGCAGCCAUGCCGCGUGUAUGAAGAAGGCCUUCGGGUUGUAAAGUACUUUCAGCGGGGAGGAAGGGAGUAAAGUUAAUACCUUGGCUCAUUGACGUUACCCGCAGAAGAAGCACCGGCUAACUCCGUG